rnacentral:rRNA from 1 species
UACGGGGGAGGCAAGCGUUAAUCGGAUUUAUUGGGCGUAAAGGGCGCGUAGGCGGUUUCUUAAGUCAGGUGUUAAAGACCUCGGCUCACCCGUGGGGCUGCGCCUGAUACUGAGGGACUGGAGUGCAGCAGAGGCAAGCGGAAUUCCCGGUGUAGCGGUGAAAUGCAUAGAUAUCGGGAGGAACACCAGUGGCGAAGGCGGCUUGCUGGGCUGUAACUGACGCUGAGGCGCGAAAGCCAUGGGGGCGAACGGGAUUAGGUACCCCGGUAGUCCUGGCCGUAAACGUUGUGCACUAGGUGUGGGGGGGUAUCGACCCCUUCCGUGCCGCAGGUAACCCAUUAAGUGCACCGCCUGGGGAGUACGACCGCAAGGUUGAA